UACGUAGGGACCGAGCGUUGUCCGGGAUCAUUGGGCGUAAAGAGCGUGUAGGCGGCUCGCUAAGUCUUGCGUGAAAUCUCGGGGCUCAACCCCGAGCGGUCGUGAGAAACUGGCGGGCUAGAGUGCGGGAGAGGAGAGUGGAAUUCCUGGUGUAGCGGUGAAAUGCGCAGAUAUCAGGAAGAACACCCGUGGCGAAGGCGGCUCUCUGGAACGCAACUGACGCUGAGACGCGAAAGCGUGGGGAG
rnacentral:rRNA from 1 species